UUGUGAGUUGAUCAAUAAGGUAUGAGUUUUAAAAUCUGUUCUUAUGAUUUUCUGUAAAUCUUUAGGGUUAAAGUACUAUAAUUCCAUCGAUAGAUAGAAAUAGAAAGAUUAUAUGAUUAAGUUAUGACUUAGAUAUCCUAAGUUAUGUGUUACAUGCAACAGUUCAAGAAGUGAUACAUAGAUAUCCAUUGAAGAUAAGAUUGAUAGGUUGAUUAGAGUAUGGUUGUUCCUGCAAAUCUGAUAAUAUUCAGACAUUAGAGUUGGGUUCUUUUUGCUUGUUUUGUGUUGCAUUUUAUGUCGAAAUAAACUUGUUGGAUUUAAUCUAUGUUUAUCAAUUUUCAAAGAUUUGAAGGUGGGUGUCCGUGUCCUUAUUUUAAAGGUUUUAGAUAUUUUGUGAUUGAUUUUAAUCCGUUCAAGAAGUGAUACAUAGAUGUCCAUUGAAGAUGGGAUUGAUAGGUUGAUUAGAGUUUGGUUGUUCCUGCAAAUAUGAUAAUAUUCAGAUAUUGAAAUUAUGUUCUUUUGCUUGUUUUUGUGUUGCAGUUUAUGUUGAAAUAAACUUGUUGGAUUUAAUUUAUGUUUACCAAUUUUUCAGAGAUUUGAAAUUGGGUGUUAGUGUCAUGAUUUUAAAGGUUUUAGAUAUUUUUGUGAUUGAUUUCACAACUAAUUCUUCGGGGAUUCCAUAGUAUUAUUAUCUUAUUUUCGUGAUUGAAAAUGAUUGUGUUUGUUUCUCGCCAUUUAUUUUGAUUCAUUUUUUUAGUAUUCCAGAGUUAUCGGGAGUAUUAGUAUGUGAUAAUUUAAAUUUAAAAUAUAGUGAGUUUGUACUGUUUUGAGAAGAGAAAGUGG
rnacentral:lncRNA from 1 species